GGGCGUGAAACGAGUUUGAAAGGAUUGUACUGAGGGAAUUAAAAGCUCUGAGAAAAUUACUUGAAGAACAAAGAGACGAGUCUCAAUCGAAUGAAGUGAAUACUGAGUCGAAUAAUGAAGAGUCUGAACAGUUGAGUACUCUAGAGGAAUCUGACAAAGAGACUGGAGAAGAGAGUGUUGAUGAAAGAAGUACUGAUAAGAGUGAUGGUGAUAUGAUUCUUAAAGAAUUUGUUAACAAAAAGAGAAAGAAAAAUUAGCUUUUGUCUUUGUUUUUUUGGUGGAUUAGAAAUGCCAUUAUGUUUUGGUCUUGUUCGAGUCUAUCAGUUGUAAUACCUCUUUGAACAAGAAAUGAAAUUAGUGUUUUGAUUCAAAUUCAUUUGCUUUAAAUUGAUUGAUUGA
rnacentral:lncRNA from 1 species